UACGUAGGGUGCGAGCGUUGUCCGGAAUUAUUGGGCGUAAAGAGCUCGUAGGCGGCUUGUCGCGUCGGAUGUGAAAGCCCGGGCUUAACUCCGGGUCUGCAUUCGAUACGGGCAGGCUAGAGUUCGGUAGGGGAGAUCGGAAUUCCUGGUGUAGCGGUGAAAUGCGCAGAUAUCAGGAGGAACACCGGUGGCGAAGGCGGAUCUCUGGGCCGAUACUGACGCUGAGGAGCGAAAGCGUGGGGAGCGAACAGG
rnacentral:rRNA from 1 species